UACGUAGGGUGCAAGCGUUGUCCGGAAUUAUUGGGCGUAAAGAGCUCGUAGGCGGUUUGUUGCGUCGGCUGUGAAAUCCCGAGGCUCAACCUCGGGUCUGCAGUCGAUACGAGCAAACUAGAGUGUUGCAGGGGAGACUGGAAUUCCUGGUGUAGCGGUGAAAUGCGCAGAUAUCAGGAGGAACACGGGUGGCGAAGGCGGGUCUCUGGGCAACAACUGACGCUGAGGAGCGAAAGCGUGGGGAGCGAACAGG
rnacentral:rRNA from 1 species